UACGUAUGGAGCAAGCGUUAUCCGGAUUUACUGGGUGUAAAGGGAGCGCAGGCGGUCUGGCAAGCCUGAUGUGAAAGGCCGGGGCUCAACCCCGGGACUGCAUUGGAAACUGUCAGACUGGAGUGUCGGAGAGGUAAGCGGAAUUCCUAGUGUAGCGGUGAAAUGCGCAGAUAUUAGGAGGAACACCAGUGGCGAAGGCGGCUUACUGGACGAUGACUGACGCUGAGGCUCGAAAGCGUGGGGAGCAAACAGG
rnacentral:rRNA from 1 species